UUCUUGCACAAAGCAUGCAAUCGCUGCAACUGCCUGGUUGCAUUUCUUCGAGCUGUUUCAUGCACAUUUUCUCUGGUUUACAUCCAUAAAUCCAUUCACAAAUUUAAUAAUAAUAAUGAGUAUACAUUGCUGAGUAUUACGGAAUGAAAGGAAGUUAAUUAACCUGAAUUUAAAAAAUCAGAAACAAAAGCUAAAACAAAACUUGAAGAUCAUGUGAUCACACACCCUCCACCCCCACCCCCACCCCCUAGUUUGUGCCUUAUAUCUGUUACCCAGCUGUGCAGAAAGUGCUCGCCGACUCGCCAGAUGUGAGUAAACAUUCUGAUGGAUUUUAAAAAAUGCAACUACUAGUUCAACGGCAAUCUGUCUUUUUCUGACUGAUCAUAUAUAUUUUUUUCCCAUCGAAUCACUGACUCUGAAUCAGCCAUGCCAGAAUUCCAAGCCAUUCAAACAAACAGUUUGUAAUUAUGAUGAAAUACACACCAUUACAUAUACCACAUUGCAAGUGUGAUAUUCUGAAAACAGAGCCAGACAAAGAUCGUUCUGUUAAAUACUUGAGGGAUGUAACUUGAAUUUUGUAAAUCUAUAUGAAAGAAAUGUGAAAAACGUUGUCUUUACCAGAAUAUUAAAAAAUUCAAUCAAG